GUUGAACGCUAGCGGGAUGCCUUACACAUGCAAGUCGAACGGAGUGGCGAACGGGUGAGUAAUGUAUCGGAACGUGCCCAGUAGCGGGGGAUAACUACGCGAAAGCGUAGCUAAUACCGCAUACUAUUGGAGCGGCCGCUAUCGGAUUAGCUCGUUGGUGGGGUAACGGCUCACCAAGGCGACGAUCCGUAGCUGGUUUGAGAGGACGACCAGCCAAACGGGGACUGAGACACGGCCCAGACUCCUACGGGAGGAAGCAGUGGGGAAGUUUGGAAAAUGGGGGAAACCCUGAUCCAGCCAUCCCGCGUGUGCGAGGAAGGCAUUCGGGUUGUAAAGCACUUUUGGCAGGAAAGCGGUACCUGCAGAAUAAGCACCGGCUAACUACGUGCCAGCAGCCGCGGUAAUUC
rnacentral:rRNA from 1 species